CUAGUUGUGUGAAGGGGAACAAGCAAGGCCAAUCUACCGCUGCUGUUGUGCUCCCCUUGAACGAUCUGGUGAAGGACAAGUUGGUCCAUAGGUUGGUAUCUUAGGAGAACCUAGGCGUGCUAUGUGGGGAAGCAAAGCAGCAGCUCACAACUCCGGCGUGCAACUCCAGAUGAAGGCACCGCAACGACGCAUCAUGCUGCUGCUCCCUUGGAAGGUCGGCUCAUGGACCGUAACUUUCUCUCAACUUGUGCUCUCCUUGAUACCAGUUCAUUGUAUUGCUCUCAACUUGUGCAAAUUGCAAUAUGCAGGGCUUCCUAGUCCUUGGCCUGCCUUCUGGAUGGAGCAAGGAGGGGGCAUCAUCCACACCGCGGAGCUGGUUGAGCCUUAGUGUGACAUGGAGAAGCAGGGCAUCGUCGGGGACAUCUCUCGCUUGUGCCAUGGUAAGAACAGAGCGUCACUCUCUGUCGUGCAUGUAUUGAAAUGCCAAAAUGUCAAAUACAUGUUCGCUCUCAGCUGGGAUAUUGGAUUGUACUUAGUUAUGUGCCUCGUUCAUGUUCGUGCUGCUUUUUAAGUGAUUACCUUUAUGUACUUGCUACCAGUAGGAUGGUCAAUACAUGCUUGUUUUGUAUCUAUUCCAGAACAGUUUGCUUGGUUGCCUGAUGCUUGAUGCAUCCAUAAUGUGACACACACAUCAGGAAAUCUGAAUAACUUUGACAUAGUUGCUCUAUCAUCUUGCACUGGGUUGGUACUUGUCAUUUUCCCUUCCCAAAUAUAUCUCAGUUUUGCUGUUAUGAGAAUGUUAUAUGCAUGGUUUCUUAUUAGAUCUCAAAUUCUGGAGCUAUUUUUCAUUGUUAGGAGAAUGUUAUAUGCACGGCCUCACUUGAUUGUAUUCCUAACUUUUCUGAUUUAUAACUCGCAGAUUUUGGCCUUCAUUCGUCAAAAGUUGGUGUACAAGGAACUACAGGAGAAGAAUCCUAAAAAAAACCGGCACCCAACAAUGUGUUUUAGCUCCCUGGAGCUGGACAUGUUAAUAUUUAGCUGUAUUUUAUAGUUGAAUACCUGAUUUGUACUGCCAUGAUUGUAAAGUACCUGCCAUGAUUUGGCUGUCGUUUGAAAUUUUUUGUGUUAUUGGCUCUGUUUGAAUCAAGUUAUUGGUUGUUGCACAAAUAGAGAACUGACGUGUGGCACCUAAACAGCACACAUGGUCCCAUUUCACUAGUGGA